GACGAACGCUGGCGGCGAGCUUAACACAUGCAAGUCGAACGGUGAAGCGCCUUCCUUUUUGGUGGGUGUGGAUGAGUGGCGAACGGGUGAGUAACACGUGAGUAACCUGCCCCCUUCUUCUGGAUAACCGCAUGAAAGUGUGGCUAAUACGGGAUAUUCUGGGUCUGUCGCAUGAUGGGUCUGGGAAAGAUAUUGUUUCGGUGGGGGAUGGGCUCGCGGCCUAUCAGCUUGUUGGUGGGGUGAUGGCCUACCAAGGCGGUGACGGGUAGCCGGCCUGAGAGGGUGGACGGUCACACUGGGACUGAGACACGGCCCAGACUCCUACGGGAGGCAGCAGUGGGGAAUAUUGCACAAUGGGCGCAAGCCUGAUGCAGCGACGCCGCGUGAGGGAUGGAGGCCUUCGGGUUGUGAACCUCUUUCGCCAGUGAAGCAGGCCUGCCUCGUUUGUGGGUGGGUUGACGGUAGCUGGAUAAGAAGCGCCGGCUAACUACGUG
rnacentral:rRNA from 1 species